rnacentral:rRNA from 1 species
AUGUCUAUUAUGAAAUUUCCCAAGUGGGCUAUUGACAUGAUCACGUCACAAAUGUCUCAUUUUUUCUGGGGGAAUAUGGGUGAUAAUCAUAAAUAUCACCUUGCUAAUUGGGGGUUGAUCUCCAGAAGGAAAGAGUUUGGGGGUAUGGGGGUUCCCAACCUUAGAGAAUUCAACAUGGCCCUUCUGGCCUCGUGGGGAAAGAGGUUCUACGAUGACAGGGAUAGUGAUUGGAAGAAGAUGCUGACCUACAAAUACAACACUGCUUGCCCUAAUCUCUUUAACACAAGGGUGGCCCUGGGGUCUCCAUUUAUGAAAAGUCUAUCUUGGGCUCUUACAGCCUCUAAGAACUUUUGUAGAUGGAUCCCUGAAGAUGGUAAAAGCAUUGCCUUCUGGCAUGACAUCUGGAUUGGGGAUUGUUCUCUAAAAACUGCUUUUUGGGAUUUGUUUACUAUUUGUCAACAACAAGAUGCUACCCUUGCACAGGUUUGGGUGGAUGGCGAAUUACGUCUGACUUUGCUCUAUUGGCUUCCUUCUGGAAGAAGAGAAAAUAUUGUGAAGCUUUAA